UUUUUUUAAUUUCAUGUAGAAAAUAUAUUAUAUUUAACUAUUUAUAAUACUAUAUUACUGUCAAAUAUCAUGUAAGAAUUCAAACUUAACAUAACACACAAGUGAUGAGGUGUUAAUAAUUAUGAUAAAUUUAUGAAUAAUCAUAAGUAAAAGGAUAAAAAAUGCACAAUUCAAAUUAAUUGAACUUUAAUGUGUUUAAUCUGGUAUUGUAUAAACUAAAAUAACAAUAUUCAAAUAUGACAUUUUUCGCUUUUUGAGAGUCAAUGGCGACUAAUCUUUAAAGUUAAAUUGAAUUAGAUCAACUGAAUGUUUUAAAACUAAAAUUUAGAUAUUCGAACACUAUACGAAAAGUGCAAUUCUUCUCGUGUCAAUAUGGUGAAAAUAAUACAUUUUAAAAUUAUUAAUCAAAAUUUAUAUAAUUUGAAUUUCGGAAAUUCAAAAGGUACCGGCCUUAGGUUUCUUGUCAUAAAAAAAAAAUUCAAAAAGCAAAAAAUGUAUCAUAUAGGACAGGACACAGGGGUAGUAUAAUAACUAAUUAAGUAGGCAUUUGGCCAAGAAACUAAAUAUUUUUCACUUUAUUUAAAAUUUUUGAAGUUGGAGUUGAAGAUGAAGUUGUGUUUGGUUAUAGAUUUUGCGAAAAAUAUUUGGUUGUUUGAAUGUAUUGAAAGUGAAAACAGAGGUUUAGGUGUUUUCCAAAUUCUUUUUUUUUUUCCCUCAAAAUUCCAAAUACAACUUUCAUGAUCAAAAACUGAUUUGUAAAUAUACUGAUUUUUUUUUUUUCCAGAAAAAAGUGAAAUAACUCUAUGGCCUAAGAGGCCAAAAAUGAUACUAUUACAUUAACCCAAAAAAUUAACAGCACGUGCACUUCACGUGAUUUCUCAUCUUCUUCCCCAAAAUUCCCCUCGCUAUUCGAAGAAAAAUUGCAGUCAAUUGGCAAAAGUAUGUCUUAAGUUUUUUCAGUUUUGAAGAAAUUAGCAGGUGGCAUUGGGCUGAGAAGCUGUUUAAUAGGAAUGUGGAUUUUCUAAAGCUAUUGAGAACCCAAAGGAUCUUAUGAUCUUGGCCUCUUUAAUGACUUACUUUCUGGACUCUUUCUACAUUUAGUAAUAUGAUAAUUCAAAAAUCCUACAUGACAAGUUUAAAAUCAUAAGAUUCAAAUGACAUUUUAGUACAUUAUACAUAUUUAGUUUAGAAUCACAAGAUUCAAAAAUCUCCUUUUAUUCUUUAAAUUUUGUGUUCAGUUAAACUAAAACACUUAAAUUGGGAUGGAGGGAUACCUUAUAUUAUGUCUUACACGCUUAACUUUUGAUUGAUCGGUGAAUCAUCUUUUAUUGUAUAAUUUUCCUUAUUGAAUAAAGCUCUUCUCCCUGUUUUUUUCCUUUCAUGUUAGCAAGUUUCCAAUCUCAUUAUAUUGUUGGACGUGUGGGCGGCAUAAAUUUCAAAUUCUGGAUCCACCUUUAUAUACACAUUGGUAGCCUAGUAUCAUACAAAUUAUCCUUGGUUGUUUUAACCCAAUAAUGUUUUCUUGAUUUUGCAUUGCUUUUAUUUCCCUUAUAUCUGUUUGAAGUGUAAAGAAAUGGAUCAUGAGCCACCGAUAUGGGAGUUUUUCAUUCUUCAACACCCCACUUGAGAUGGUUCUGCUCUGAUACCAUGAAAAUAAAUGGAUCAUGGGCCUAACUUAACCCCAAAAAUUAGCUUACGAGGGGAGUGUUGACCAAGUGCAUAUAAAGAGACCCCUAUCUCAUCAACCAUCGAUGCGGGAAUUUUUCAUUCUUCAACAUGAAGAUGACCAGUUGAUUCAAAACCAAUGUCAUGUCUUGUUCACUUUUUGAUGAAUAGCUUGGAACAAUGAACAAUAUGGUGAACGAUAGCGAAGAAAAAGGCCAUGAUGAAACAUAUGAUGAUAAUGAAUGAUGAAGAACAUGAUGAACUAGAGGAAAAAGUGCCUGCGAAGUUGAGUGUGUUCUCGCUCUCUAUGUAAUCUACUCUUUAUCAACAGUUCUAUUUUUGUAGGAAUACACUUGGAGAUGUAGUCAAUAAAAAUCAUAGCUAUCACUCUUGAAACUAAUAUAAGCUAACUUAAUCCCAACAUCUAGCGUAUUCGAGAAAUGGGGAUUUUUUUU